GACGAACGCUGGCGGCGUGCUUAACACAUGCAAGUCGAGCGGAGCGGCGAACGGGCGAGUAACGCGUGAGUAACUGCCCCCCUCUCUGGCAUAACAGUUGGAAACGGCUGCUAAUACCGGAUAGUGGGGGAUGACUCGCGUCCUAUCAUUUUGUUGGUGGGGUAGUGGCCUACCAAGGCGACGGCGGGUAGCCGGCCUGAGAGGGCGACCGGCCACAUUGGUCUGAGUUCCGGACCAAACUCCUACUGGCGGCAGCAGUGGGGAAUCUUGCCCAAUGGGGGAAACCCUGAUGCAGCGAUCCGCGUGCGGGAUGACUGCCUUCGUGUUGUGAACCGCUUUCAUCCAUGACGCGGUAGUGGCAGAAGAAGCACCGGCUAACUACGUGCCAGCAGCCGCGGUAAUAC
rnacentral:rRNA from 1 species